CGAAAGCCUGACGGAGCAACGCCGCGUGGGGGAGGAAGGCCCUUGGGUUGUAAACCCCUUUUCUCAGGGAAGAAACCUGACGGUACCUGAGGAAAAAGCCUCGGCUAACUCCGUGCCAGCAGCCGCGGUAAUACGGAGGAGGCAAGCGUUAUCCGGAAUUACUGGGCGUAAAGCGUUCGUAGGGGGCUCGUCAAGUCUGCUGUCAAAGACCGGAGCUCAACUCCGGGCAGGCAGUGGAAACUGGGGAGCUAGAGGGCGGCAGGGGCAGAAGGAAUUCCCGGUGUAGCGGUGAAAUGCGUAGAUAUCGGGAAGAACACCAGAGGCGAAAGCGUUCUGCUGGGCCGCGCCUGACCCUGAGGGGCGAAAGCUAAGGUAGCG
rnacentral:rRNA from 1 species